GUUCAGGGACUGAGAUAGAUGAUGAUGUUUUUGAGGAAAUUGUGAAGGAUCCAUCCACUGGGGUACUAACCAUCAAAUACGAAACAGAAUCUGUCUCCAAAGUCCCAAUCAUCCGUUUGUUCAUCGGACUCAGACACAAUCAUCCUUGAAGACACUCCUACCAGAAAGCGUCAGAGGCUGGACUUUGAAGCUGUGCAACUGGUGAAAUCCAUUCUUACCAAGAAAUCGGGUGGAGAAUAUUUAAUAAAUGAAUACAACCGAACUAAGUCCUUGACAGAUGAGAGCAGAAGAAAAUUGGUGAAUAUACUGGCAGCUGAGAUGACGGAGAAGAAUGGACAGGUGAAGGAAAUGUAUGCACAAGGAAUUGUAAACUUGUUCCCCAACCUCAAAGACCCAUUUUUCAAGAAUGGCUAUG